CUGGGGGCCGGCUCCUCAUGCAGGGGGAACAGGGACUGACCAGGUGGCAUCUGCAGAGAGGACCUGGGCUGGACACCCUGCCAAAGGUGUGCAGGGCCUGCCCAGCUGACUCUGCAGAAGUUGCCUGGAGCCAGCUUGGCGCUGGGGAGUGACACGCACAUUCCCACCCUGCAAUGUCUGGGACACAAGUCAGUGGGGAUGGGAACAUGCUUGGACGUGCCUGAGAUGGGUCCUCGCAUGGUGCUGGUGGGAAUUGAAAUUGGCACAACCAUUCAGGAAGGGAGUGACCAUGCCCAACCGCAGGACCUGGGGUUGCUGUCUGGGCAUCAGCGCCAGAGAAGUGAGCACUGGUGUGCCGGCGGAGAGGGACACGUCUGCCAGUCAAGGAGUGGGCCGAAGAUUGUGGCCACCUGUACACGGGAACUGAGAGGCGCUGACAGCUCAUCAAGCCUGGAAACUGGAUCCACGGGAUGAGUACCUGGUCGAGUCCUGGAAUGUUCCGGAAUUAGGACUCGAGAGAUGCGAUCCCAUGUUAAAUGUAGGUGGAGAUGGACUGCAUGAAACCCAGAGUGGGGGCUGGGAGAGUGGGCUGGACCCAAGCCUGUUCCUCCUGUUCUUUCAUUAAAUAGAUUAAUUUGGA